rnacentral:lncRNA from 1 species
CUCGGUCCCCUCGGCUCCGGGGGCGCCCGGCUGGGCCCAGCUCCGCGGGCGCGCCCCCGUCACCCCCUCCCAGGCCAGUUCAGGGCAGCGCCAAGGGGCCGCGGGCUCAGGCUGAGGCCUCCUCCUGCCUAGGCGUCUGGCGUCCGUUUGUCUGUCCGAGGCCUCAGCGCAGGUAAAGCGCGGGGCUGGGGGGCGCAGAGCUCCAUUGGGCUGGGAACCAGCGCGUCUCGUGCCCUUGGGGGACCCGCCUGCCCGAGCCGCCUGCUAAGCCUCCCGCUCCCCUCCACGCUGGAGCGCGCGGAGCCCGGUCUGCUCGGAACUCCACUCUGCGGGAGCGGAGGCCGGCGCCAGCCCGGGAAGCCGCGCAGGGGGCGGGAGGCCGAGCGCGAGGCCCUUGGCGCCGGGCCUCCGCGGCCAGGCCGGGCAGGUGAGCAGUCUCCGUGCCUCCCGGUUGGCGUUCCCCUCAACGCGUGCGGUCCCGCCGGGGCCCACUGUCUCUCCGUCCGUCUGUCUCUCAACUUUUCCCAUCCUUUAGCUUACGAUUCUUCAUCAACUCGUAAAAUGAGAUCGCCGCGGAGCUCGAGCCUAUUUGGCGUCUCCGGAGACUAGCAAGACCCUCUGAAAGACACCGCGUCCCCAGGGAUAAUCCCCCGUGUCCGGCAAAGCUGCCCCGCUCGAGCGCGAACCCUGGGACCCAGCGCGGGAGGCAGACCAGCAGCUGGCCGCUGGGCUGUGAACGCCAGGACCGAGCGGAAGCUUCCCGCCCGGCCGCGAUCGGUGCCGCGGCUCUCAGGGAAGUGGCUACGCGCGUCCCUCGGGAAAGCAGAGUAAUUUGCCUGUUUCUGGCAAAUCUGAAGAUUGGAAUGCCACACGGCCCAGCCAUUCCUUUUCCAGGCAUAUGAGAAGCCCUCACACAUGAGCAAGAAAGAGAUGUGGCCAAAGACAUUCAUGGAGCCCUGUUUGUUAAAACAGAGAAAAAGAAAUUAAGAAAUACCCAGCCUGGGCAACAUAGGGAGACCCUGUCUCUACUAAAAAUAAAAAUUUAUACUUGGGAGGCUAAGGCAGGAGGAUCACUUGAGCUCAGAAGAUCGAAGCUUGCAAUCAGCUGUGAUCGUGUCACUGCAUGCCAGCCUGGGUGACAGAGAGUGAGACCCUGUAUCAAUAAAGAAAGAAAGAAAGAAAAGAAACAGAAAUAAACUUAGGACACAGCAGACGGCCCAUCCUGAGGGUACCACAUAGCAGAUGCUGGGACCUUUUUUCAGGUGGACGCCACAUGACCUUUCCUUUGCAGGCAUCCAUGCUGAUGUUCACAAGGCACACAGCAUUUCAGCUGAAGAAAGAACUGGCAGGAUUUUCAUCACGAAAGGGCACUGUCUAUCGUUUAUGAAAAUGAAGCAUAUGAAGUAAAAGUUUGGAAACAGAUGGAAUUAAAUCUUCUGACAGAUUUUAAAAUAAGAUCUAAAAAAGAGCAAGACAUGCUCUUGGAUGGGGAAACUUAAUAUCAGAAAAAUGUCAAUUUUCCCAUUUUUUCCAUAUAAAUUUAAUGUAAUUCAAAUUCCAUUACCA